rnacentral:rRNA from 1 species
CGGGCGAACGGGUGAGUAACACGUAGGUGAUCUGCCCAUCAGACGGGGACAACGAUUGGAAACGAUCGCUAAUACCGGAUAGGACGAAAGUUUAAAGGUGCUUCUGGCACCGCUGAUGGAUGAGCCUGCGGCGCAUUAGCUAGUUGGUAGGGUAAAGGCCUACCAAGGCGACGAUGCGUAGCCGACCUGAGAGGGUGAACGGCCACACUGGGACUGAGACACGGCCCAG